AUGGCGAAGUCUAGUCGCCGGCGACGGGCUGCCAAAUCGAUGGACAGGCCAUCGGCUUCGACCGUGGGGGAAGUCAAUCCAGAUGAUAGGAUCAGCAGCUUGCCCAAUGACAUCCUGCUCAACAUUCUUGACCGACUCGAUGUCUGCAACGCUGCGAGAACCAGUGUCCUCUCGAGAAGGUGGAGUCAGCUUCCUGCAAUGCUCCCACGGCUUGUAAUCAGUGCUCCGGACCUCCUGCCCUCAGAAACUAAAACCAAAAAGACCAAUGGUAAAUUGGUUCGGAGGACCAAAGCAGCUGUGGCCGAAACUUUGGCCAAUGCAGGACUGUCCAAUGCUGAAUUGGUUCAGAGGACCAAUGCAGCUGUGGCCAAAGCCUUGGCUGAUGCAGCCAAAGCUGUGGCCAAUACAGCUGCGGCCAAAGCGACAAAGAGCAUACUGGCACGCAGGGAUCCGGGUGGAUGCACCAUCCGCCUCUUGAGCAUGACGUUCUACUUGAAAGACGAUGCCCCCAUAUCAGUUGGGCAUUCUGUUGCCAGUGCCAUGGCAACAUGCAAGAUUGAGAAGGCCGAAUUCAUAGUUCUGACAGAGAAGGAACGCCUAGAGUGCGACGUUUAUGACGUGGAAAACUAUGGGACACGGUUUGUGUCGUUUUUUAAUGAAUGUGUCAAUGCAUUUGCUGGUCUCACCCGCCUCCACCUGCAGAAUUUGAGAUUCGCCAAAUCAGACUUUGUUUCCAACAUUCUUGUCACUUGCAAGAAAUUAAAUUAUUUAGGUUUUCUCAAUUGCGACACAGAGGAUUGGAUAACACUCCAAGUUGAACAUGCACAGCUCAGUGAGCUCAGUAUUGUUAAUUGCCGGUUUGACAUGGUCAAACUCGCCUGGGUUCCGAAACUCACCUGCCUGGUGUUUGAGUUUUGGGUGUCUUUCAAAAAACCACCAUUGUCAUUUGGCCAUGUCCCAUUGCUUGAGGUUCUGCGCCUUUCAAAUGUUGCUCUUAAUUGGCACAAAAUGGUCAAGUUAAGUACAUUUCUUCACGAGACCUCUGUCCGAGACCUGAGGUUGGGGUUUAAAUCUGAAAAGAUUUGGGUUCAACCAGAGUGUUUGACCAGAAGGCAGGCAUAUGUGUUCUGCCAACUAAGGAUUCUCAAUCUACUUAGCAUUCCUGAAGGGUAUGAUCUCACCUGGACAAUGUUCUUUUUGGAAGCGGCGCCGUCCCUGGAGGAGCUCAUAUUGACGGUAAUUGAUCAUCCAUGUGAAAUGGAAAUGGACGAGAAGGUGAGGAGGCAGAAGUCGUAUAGCAGGAACAAGGGGGUCCGGUGGGAAUCACCUACAUCAAAUUUCAAGCACCAUUGUCUCACCAAGCUAACCUUCUUCUGCUUCCAAUCUGAAGAGUACAUGGUGAGUCAUGUCAGGCGUGUCAUGAAAGCAGCGGUGAAUCUAGGGGAUGUGUACCUGUAUGACAGGCUCACAUGUAUCUACUGCGAAGGCGAGGAGCCUCUAAAGCCGAUAGUGUUUCCGAAGACAGAUAAGCAGAUGUCUUCAGUGGAGAAGCAAAUCAGGAAGGGCAUCGAGUCACCUGCCAUAAUCCACUUCCUGGCGGCUGCUGAAAUAAGCGAUGAUUAUUGUGCAAGGUUAACUGAAGACUGUUAG
rnacentral:rRNA from 1 species